AGCCCCGUACACAAAAAUGCACAUGCUGUGAGCUCGAUGAGUAGGGCGGGACACGUGGUAUCCUGUCUGAAUAUGGGGGGACCAUCCUCCAAGGCUAAAUACUCCUGACUGACCGAUAGUGAACCAGUACCGUGAGGGAAAGGCGAAAAGAACCCCGGCGAGGGGAGUGAAAAAGAACCUGAAACCGUGUACGUACAAGCAGUGGGAGCACGCUUAGGCGUGUGACUGCGUACCUUUUGUAUAAUGGGUCAGCGACUUAUAUUCUGUAGCAAGGUUAACCGAAUAGGGGAGCCGAAGGGAAACCGAGUCUUAACUGGGCGUUAAGUUGCAGGGUAUAGACCCGAAACCCGGUGAUCUAGCCAUGGGCAGGUUGAAGGUUGGGUAACACUAACUGGAGGACCGAACCGACUAAUGUUGAAAAAUUAGCGGAUGACUUGUGGCUGGGGGUGAAAGGCCAAUCAAACCGGGAGAUAGCUGGUUCUCCCCGAAAGCUAUUUAGGUAGCGCCUCGUGAAUUCAUCUCCGGGGGUAGAGCACUGUUUCGGCAAGGGGGUCAUCCCGACUUACCAACCCGAUGCAAACUGCGAAUACCGGAGAAUGUUAUCACGGGAGACACACGGCGGGUGCUAACGUCCGUCGUGAAGAGGGAAACAACCCAGACCGCCAGCUAAGGUCCCAAAGUCAUGGUUAAGUGGGAAACGAUGUGGGAAGGCCCAGACAGCCAGGAUGUUGGCUUAGAAGCAGCCAUCAUUUAAAGAAAGCGUAAUAGCUCACUGGUCGAGUCGGCCUGCGCGGAAGAUGUAACGGGGCUAAACCAUGCACCGAAGCUGCGGCAGCGACGCUUAUGCGUUGUUGGGUAGGGGAGCGUUCUGUAAGCCUGUGAAGGUGUGCUGUGAGGCAUGCUGGAGGUAUCAGAAGUGCGAAUGCUGACAUAAGUAACGAUAAAGCGGGUGAAAAGCCCGCUCGCCGGAAGACCAAGGGUUCCUGUCCAACGUUAAUCGGGGCAGGGUGAGUCGACCCCUAAGGCGAGGCCGAAAGGCGUAGUCGAUGGGAAACAGGUUAAUAUUCCUGUACUUGGUGUUACUGCGAAGGGGGGACGGAGAAGGCUAUGUUGGCCGGGCGACGGUUGUCCCGGUUUAAGCGUGUAGGCUGGUUUUCCAGGCAAAUCCGGAAAAUCAAGGCUGAGGCGUGAUGACGAGGCACUACGGUGCUGAAGCAACAAAUGCCCUGCUUCCAGGAAAAGCCUCUAAGCAUCAGGUAACAUCAAAUCGUACCCCAAACCGACACAGGUGGUCAGGUAGAGAAUACCAAGGCGCUUGAGAGAACUCGGGUGAAGGAACUAGGCAAAAUGGUGCCGUAACUUCGGGAGAAGG
rnacentral:rRNA from 1 species